UCCCUGGUGGUCCAGUGGUUAGGGCUCUGCACUUCUACUGCAGGGGCAAAGGUUCAAUCCCUGGUUGGGGAA
rnacentral:tRNA from 1 species